UACGUAGGGGGCAAGCGUUGUCCGGAAUUACUGGGCGUAAAGGGCGUGUAGGCGGUUUUUUAAGUCAGAUGUGAAAGUUCGGGGCUCAACCCCGGAAUUGCAUUUGAAACUGGGAGACUUGAGUACUGGAGAGGUAAGUGGAAUUCCUAGUGUAGCGGUGAAAUGCGUAGAUAUUAGGAGGAACACCAGUGGCGAAGGCGACUUACUGGACAGAUACUGACGCUGAGGCGCGAAAGCGUGGGGAGCAAACAGG
rnacentral:rRNA from 1 species